AACGCUAGCUACAGGCUUAACACAUGCAAGUCGAGGGGUAGCACGGAGACAGUUUACUGUCUUGGGUGACGACCGGCGCACGGGUGAGUAACGCGUAUCCGACCUACCCAUAACUCGGGCACAGCCGCUCGAAAGAGUGAUUGAUUCCCGAUAUGUCCUUGGAGUAGAUUCAAUGAUGAAAGAUUUAUCGGUUAUGGAUGGGGAUGCGUAAGAUUAGGUAGUAGGCGGGGUAACGGCCCACCUAGCCGACGAUCUUUAGGGGUUCUGAGAGGAAGGUCCCCCACACUGGUACUGAGACACGGACCAGACUCCUACGGGAGGCAGCAGUGAGGAAUAUUGGUCAAUGGGCGGAAGCCUGAACCAGCCAAGUAGCGUGAAGGAUUACAGCCCUACGGGUUUUAAACUUCUUUUAUAUAAGAGUAAUGUGCACUACGUGUAGUGUAUUGCAAGUAUUAUAUGAAUAAGCAUCGGCUAACUCCGUGCCAGCAGCCGCGGUAAUACGGAGGAUGCGAGCGUUAUCCGGAUUUAUUGGGUUUAAAGGGAGCGUAGGCGGGAUAUUAAGUCAGUCGUCAAAGCCUGUGGCUCAACCACAGCCCGCGAUUGAUACUGGUAACCUUGAGUGCGGAUGAGGUGGAUGGAAUUCGUGGUGUAGCGGUGAAUGCUUAGAUAUCACGAAGAACUCCGAUUG
rnacentral:rRNA from 1 species